rnacentral:rRNA from 1 species
UACGGGGGGAGCAAGCGUUGUUCGGAUUUACUGGGCGUAAAGGGCGCGUAGGCGGUCGUGACAAGUCACUUGUGAAAUCUCCGGGCUUAACUCGGAACGGUCAACUGAUACUGUGCGGCUAGAGUGCGGAAGGGGCAACUGGAAUUCUUGGUGUAGCGGUGAAAUGCGUAGAUAUCAAGAGGAACACCUGCGGCGAAGGCGGGUUGCUGGGCCGACACUGACGCUGAGGCGCGAAAGCCAGGGGAGCGAACGGG